CACUCCCAUCGAUCGUUGCCACCGCUGCCACCGCCGUCCGAGGGGGAGACGUCGCCGCCGCCGCUGCAAGGUAUGGCGGUUUGAAUCCCGCCCCGCCUCUGCAAGGCAGGGCGGUUUCAAUCCCACCGCCGCCGAACUCCGGGAAUCGCCGCCGCCAAGUCUCCAGGGCAGGGCGGUUUCAAACCCUGCCGACGAACUCCGGGAUACGCAUAAUCGUCGCUGCCGCCCCCUCCCCCGGCUGCCCCAUGGUCUUCUAUCUCUCCCAACUCCCCUGUCGCGCCCCGUCUUCCAUCUCUGCAUGAAUUGCUGUUGUGGCAGCCACUCCCCAUGGCGGCCAUCCGGGCACACCGUGUCCGGGAUGAUGGAGGUGAUGUCCGCCAGUUCCCUGUUUCCGUUGGCAUCUUCUGCGAUGGGACCCGUGGGGGCAGGUCGCGCGCUGCUCAUCUGUGUCGAUGGCGUCGGCGUCGUCCUUCCCCUGCAAAGCAUGGCGGCUCCUUGGCUGGAUCACAGUGAUGAUACAGUUGGCUCGGCGGCGACUAGAGAUCUCGCAGGCUGGCGUUUAUUUGAUGUCUGGGUGUUCCAAUCGUGAAGGAACAGACGUAUAAUGUACGGUAUAAGAAUUUGGACGAGGCUCAUCUGCGUGGAUGGUUGUGGCUUGGCCGCCGGGCACACAAUCCAUUGAUUCACACAUAAGACCGUAGCCAUCUACACCAAGACUCCUCUGCCCUACGGAGUCUUGCAAGCGAUCGUCGUAAGAAAUAUUCCGUGUGAUGCCGGCAUGUGUUGUUGUUGCAUUGUCGCAACCAUCCAUCUACACACCAAAUGUCAAAACCGAGUCGCGGUGUUCACAAUGCUGGGCAUUAUUUAUAUCGAAAGACGAGGAGGAAGAUUUGGAUGACCGUAACCACAAUGGCAAGGGCAGCAACAUGGUCGUCACCUACAAUGCCGAUGGGUGCUGACAUUAUGAUGUUUGGUUUAUUUGUUGAAAGUUACAGCCCAUGUUUCAUGAUUUAUUUGCCACCGGUUAAUCAUGAUAUUUUGAAGUGCUCUGACAAUUGCUUGCUGUCUGCAUCUCUUACUUUUCAACUUGCUGCAUAUACAGAUAUACAGCAUUAGAAUCUGUUUGUACAAUAUAUUUACUUAUUCAACAUGCUUCAGUUAUGCUUCUUUGAAAAUCCAGUUGUAGAUUGCAGUGAAGCCCCAUUUAGAUCUUGGCUAUAGUAUUAUUCUUGUCUUAUGACUCGUGACAGAUUGAUAUGUGAUACCAUGACAUAGCAUAUGUGCUACCGUGGUAGUCACAUUUGGUGGUAGUUCUGAUUGUUUGCUAGAUUACGAGAUAAGACCAAGUGCUUCUGCAACUCGGUUGCGGUUUUGAUAGGAACAUGAAGACUUGUGAUGCCAUGGAGCAUGUUUGAUUAAAAGGAGUAAGUCAACAUACAACUUGUUUCUUAUGUUUUAUUUAGAGAAAAUGAUUGUUCCUUGUGAGUCAUUUUCUUCUACAAAUGCACCAUAGUUGCUCCAAUAUAUUGAGCAGGGACGAAGUUUGUUACAAGUGUUUUAUAGAGUUGACGCCAGAGACAUCCGACGGGAUACAUUGGUGAAGGAAUCGAUGAAGAAGCUUCCGUUCAGCAUGGUAUCUCAAUGGAAGAAUAUCCGAAGCAAACCUCCGCUACUUCUCUGUUCCCUUUCAUUUGUCGUGGGAAGACCUUAGGAAGGUAGGAAGACCUUAGGAAGAGCGGGUGGGAGGAAGAGAGGCCUGUGCUAUAGAUGUAGGCGAACAAUGGUCCUUGGAAAUUAUUAGUACUCUACAAAAUGUCUGUCCCCUAUGAUGCCUACAAUGAGCGAGAGAGGGUGGAAGGAAGGGAGAGCGGAGGAAGGAAGAUGGGGAUAUAUG